rnacentral:rRNA from 2 species
CGUGCUAAUCUGCGAUAAGCGCCGGUAAGGUGAUAUGAACCGUUAUAACCGGCGAUACCCGAAUGGGGAAACCCAGUGUGAUUCGUCACACUAUCAUUAACUGAAUCCAUAGGUUAAUGAGGCGAACCGGGGGAACUGAAACAUCUAAGUACCCCGAGGAAAAGAAAUCAACCGAGAUUCCCCCAGUAGCGGCGAGCGAACGGGGAGGAGCCCAGAGCCUGAAUCAGCAUGUGUGUUAGUGGAAGCGUCUGGAAAGGCGCGCGAUACAGGGUGACAGCCCCGUACACAAAAGCGCAUGUGCUGUGAGCUCGAUGAGUAGGGCGGGACACGUGGUAUCCUGUCUGAAUAUGGGGGGACCAUCCUCCAAGGCUAAAUACUCCUGACUGACCGAUAGUGAACCAGUACCGUGAGGGAAAGGCGAAAAGAACCCCGGCGAGGGGAGUGAAAAAGAACCUGAAACCGUGUACGUACAAGCAGUGGGAGCACAGGUUUACCUGUGUGACUGCGUACCUUUUGUAUAAUGGGUCAGCGACUUAU